rnacentral:lncRNA from 1 species
AGGGAAAGAGGGCUGGGAAGGGAGGGGCCAGAAGUGAGAGACGCUCUAUUCUGGGCUCAGACCAAAGGCAGCAAGGCUCACUUGUGAAAAUGGCCCAGCUGCUCGUUGGCUGUCUGGAGCAUCCCGGGCCUGCCUGGAUGGGCAGGAGGUGGCCCUUGCUCGGCGAAAGGCCUCAGCAGGAUACCAGCGGACCAGUCCUGGAACAGCCGCCGGUGAGUGUGGCUGCUCCUGCCUUGGGAAGCCUGCUGUUUGGGGCACCAGGCCUGACCUGACACCAGGCCAAGCAGGAACCUUGGCUCUAUAAAACCGGGAUGCUGGGCACGGGUUGCCGCCUGCCUGCACUCAGCUGGGCAAUUUUAGCCAAGCCCAGGCCUCUCUGGGUCUCGGUUUCUCCAUCUGUGAAACAUGCGGUCCCAAUGUGACGGCCUAGAAGGCUCUGGCAUCCUGUGAGCUGAUGUGUGAGGACAGGCAGCGCG